UCGCGCACACGCCACCGAGCCGCAGCUGGCCUCCUUACCGCCUUCCCUGGCCUAUAAAGAUCCAAGCCGCCGCUGCCAUCUCUUUCUUUUUCCCCACCGCAAGAACACAAGCCGCCUCGCGCUCGAUUCCGGGAGCCUUGCUGGAUCCCGUUCCAAUCGCUCGCGCACACAGGUCCGCCACAACCUAAUCCACGCCCCACGUGUUUCAAUUCCACUGCUCCCCGCCGGCGAGCUGGUUCUCGCCGUCUUCCUGUCCGCCGGCUGCCAUAGUUACCGCCUCGGUGAGCCCCUAUACGCUGCCUCUGCUUGCUUGAGCCCUUGGUAUUAGAUGCUAGUGUAGGUGCUGUAGAAGCUCUUGGGCGUGUCCCUGGCCGGAGAGCGCUCGCUGUCGUCGCCCGCGCCGGUCGGGUCACGGCCGUGUCCACCGCCACCGCCACCGCCGCACACCCCCUGUACAGCUCACGACCUGGGACAGCAACACACCCAGUAGGUGCGCACGGUCGUAGGGAGUCCAGCCGUGGUGUCAUCUUCGCCGGCGACGAGCCGUCGCAGUUACCCGCCGGUGUACCCGCAGUUUGGGGCGGGUACACUAUGCGUUGGGUUGGGCCCGCGUGUCAGCGUAAGAGGAAUCUGAAGCUCCUGGAGUUGAAUUUGUGGAAUUAUCUGAAAAACCUUAGGAGUACGAGGAGGUUAUUGAAGUUGCUCCUAUAUUUGAAGGGUCUUCUGAAGAUACUAUCUUUUUCGUGACCCCAGGCAAGCCCUAGAGCAUCUAAGCCUACUAUUUUUAGAAUCCAUAAUUCAUGUGUCCACAUUAUUGGUUGUUUGUUAUUCAUGCAUUAAGUCUAAAAGUUGAUUGAAAAUUACUUUUAUGCACAAUCCAACCUUAAUUGUGAGGACAUCUUUGCCACCUGUUCAAAAAUAAUUAGUAAUCAUCCUAUGCUUAGUUUUGCUUAGUUUCUACCUUUGAGUAACUUUUGUUGCUCAAUCACUUAAGGAUAAUUUGGUUCAUACACUUAAAUCAAGGAAAUGGCUUGAUUUCGAAGAAUGUGGAUAGAAGCUAGAGAUGGUAGUUCUAUCUACUGAGAAUAAUAUGGUUUAAUGCAUGUUCGUUGUCUUAACCUUUGAUCAACAGCAAGCCCGGUAGGUUAGUUGGCUUAUUGAUUGGAAAUGUUCUUACCCGUGCUUGGCGUGUGGGAGAAAGGUGGGGACGUAGCCUGAAACUCACAUGGAGCCAGACGUGGGGGUGCAUUCCCGGAUUUGGGUAAUUAUGUUUUCGGUCUUUGGGUACGGCUAAUUGAAAGGUUGUUAUGUACAACCCGCGCAGUUGUGCAUAGCUGGUGAUUAGGUAUAUCCUGCAGGAUGUAAAUCGGUCCGUAUCGCUGCAAUUGGUUAUGAAUGCACUUGAUCGUCGCUUAAGCAUCGUAGGAGUAACAAGUUGAAUAUAAUAUUUUUCCUUGAAUUUAUAUUGUUGUAUGAUGAUCAGUACCACUUGCUUGAGCAAAUGAUUUAUAUAUUCACCUAGGCUGGUUAGUUAAGAUUUAAUUAUUAUUAAAAUGACAAAACUAAGGUUCCACAAGUAGUAAGCUUUUUGUAGAAUGUUGAGUCACCGAGUCCACAAAAAAGCUUUCAUACUCCUUGAGGUCUUAGUUAUUUUUAUACGACGGGUCAGUCUUGCUGAGUACCUUCGUACUUAAGGGAUCCUUUUUAAGUUAUUUUCAAAAGACCCAAAACUGUCUUGAGGAGGAGAACCUGAAGAAUUAGGGUGUUUAUGAGUCCCAAAAUGCCCUAGUGUUGGACCUUAGAUGUUUAAUUAAGUUAUAACAGUACUAUCCCUAGCUUGUAUUAAGUUUGAAACUCCUUAGAAUGGUUGGACUUCUAUUUAAGUUUGUUUCAAUAUAUGGUACCUUCCAAUAUUUAUGUAAAGAAUGGUUGGGUUUGUUUCAAUAUAUGGUAUGUAAUAAUUCGUACCUUCCAA